rnacentral:rRNA from 1 species
UACGUAGGUGGCAAGCGUUGUCCGGAAUUAUUGGGCGUAAAGCGCGCGCAGGCGGUCCUUUAAGUCUGAUGUGAAAGCCCACGGCUCAACCGUGGAGGGUCAUUGGAAACUGGGGGACUUGAGUACAGAAGAGAAGAGUGGAAUUCCACGUGUAGCGGUGAAAUGCGUAGAGAUGUGGAGGAACACCAGUGGCGAAGGCGACUCUUUGGGCUGUAACUGACGCUGAGGCGCGAAAGCGUGGGGAGCAAACAGG